rnacentral:rRNA from 1 species
AUUGAACGCUGGCGGCAGGCCUAACACAUGCAAGUCGAACGAACUCUUCGGAGUUAGUGGCGGACGGGUGAGUAACACGCGGGAACGUGCCUUUAGGUUCGGAAUAACUCAGGGAAACUUGUGCUAAUACCGAAUGUGCCCUUCGGGGGAAAGAUUUAUCGCCUUUAGAGCGGCCCGCGUCUGAUUAGCUAGUUGGUGAGGUAACGGCUCACCAAGGCGACGAUCAGUAGCUGGUCUGAGAGGAUGGCCAGCCACACUGGGACUGAGACACGGCCCAGACUCCUACGGGAGGCAGCAGUGGGGAAUCUUGCGCAAUGGGCGAAAGCCUGACGCAGCCAUGCCGCGUGAAUGAUGAAGGUCUUAGGAUUGUAAAAUUCUUUCACCGGGGACGAUAAUGACGGUACCCGGAGAAGAAGCCCCGGCUAACUUCGUGCCAGCAGCCGCGGUAA